rnacentral:rRNA from 1 species
UACGUAGGGUGCGAGCGUUGUCCGGAAUUAUUGGGCGUAAAGAGCUUGUAGGCGGUUUGUCGCGUCUGCUGUGAAAAUCCGGGCUCAACCCCGGACUUGCAGUGGGUACGGGCAGACUAGAGUGUGGUAGGGGAGACUGGAAUUCCUGGUGUAGCGGUGAAAUGCGCAGAUAUCAGGAGGAACACCGAUGGCGAAGGCAGGUCUCUGGGCCACUACUGACGCUGAGAAGCGAAAGCAUGGGGAGCGAACAGG